AUUGAACGCUGGCGGCAUGCCUUACACAUACAAGUCGAACGGCAGCACGGGUGCUUGCACCUGGUGGCGAGUGGCGAACGGGUGAGUAAUACAUCGGAACAUGUCCUGUAGUGGGGGAUAGCCCGGCGAAAGCCGGAUUAAUACCGCAUACGAUCUACGGAUGAAAGCGGGGGACCUUCGGGCCUCGCGCUAUAGGGUUGGCCGAUGGCUGAUUAGCUAGUUGGUGGGGUAAAGGCCUACCAAGGCGACGAUCAGUAGCUGGUCUGAGAGGACGACCAGCCACACUGGGACUGAGACACGGCCCAGACUCCUACGGGAGGCAGCAGUGGGGAAUUUUGGACAAAGGGCGAAAGCCUGAUCCAGCAAUGCCGCGUGUGUGAAGAAGGCCUUCGGGUUGUAAAGCACUUUUGUCCGGAAAGAAAUCCUUGGCUCUAAUACAGUCGGGGGAUGACGGUACCGGAAGAAUAAGCACCGGCUAACUACGUG
rnacentral:rRNA from 1 species